GGUUAAAAAGCUCGUAGUUGGAUUUCUGUCCGAGGCAGCCGGUCCGCACCUGGUGCGUGUAUCAGGUUUGACUAGGGCAUCCUCUUGGGGAACGUUUCUGUGCUUCAUUGCAUGGGACGGAAUUCAAGACUUUUACUUUGAGGAAAUUAGAGUGUUCACGGCAAGCUAUCGCUUUGAAUACAUUAGCAUGGAAUAAUAAUAUAGGGCGUAAGUCUUAUUUUGUUGGUUUCUAGGACAUACGCAAUGAUUUAUAGGGACAAUUGGGGGCAUUCGUAUUAACGCGUCAGAGGUGGAAUUCUUAGAUUGCGUUACGACGAACUACUGCGAAAGCAUUUGCCAAGGAUGUUUUCAUUGAUCAAGAACGAAAGUAUGAGGAUCGAAGACGAUUAGAUACCGUCGUAGUCUAUACCAUAAACUAUGCCAAUUAGAGAUUGGAG
rnacentral:rRNA from 1 species